rnacentral:rRNA from 1 species
AUUGAACGCUGGCGGCAGGCCUAACACAUGCAAGUCGAGCGGAGCGGCGGACGGGGGCGUAAUGCCUAGGAAUCUGCCUGGUCGUGGGGGAUAGCGUCCGGAAACGGACGCUAAUACCGCAUCCUAUCAGAUGCGCCUGGGUCGGAUUAGCUAGUUGGUGGGGUAAAGGCCUACCAAGGCGACGAUCCGUAACUGGUCUGAGAGGAUGAUCAGUCACACUGGAACUGAGACACGGUCCAGACUCCUACGGGAGGCAGCAGUGGGGAAUAUUGCACAAUGGGCGAAAGCCUGAUCCAGCCAUGCCGCGUGUGUGAAGAAGGUCUUCGGAUUGUAAAGCACUUUAAGUUGGGAGGCGUUACCAGCAGAAUAAGCACCGGCUAACUUCGUGCCAGCAGCCGCGGUAAUUC